GUCGUAUUACGCAGGCGCUUAAAACCAUUCCAAAUGUCAACAUUGAUUCUGUGGAUUGUUAUGUUUAACCUAAUGUGAUUCAAACCACUUCUAUCCCUCCACAUGUGAUGUCGAAAAGAACAAAGGACUCGAUGGAAGAAGGAGUGACGAACACAGACAGGCAGGCCCUUCGAACUAUUAGCAAUGAAGUUCACCAGGGUGACCGAAGCUUAAGAAAGCUGCCGGUUGUUCACUCACCCAUACACGGUCUAGGUACUGAAACAAUAUCUAUGCCUGGUCCGUACUAUACUGCAUUGGUUAGAGAACUAAGUAAAAUUGUGGAAAAUUCCUCGUUGUCCAUUUUUGUUUGUAUUGCGGCCAGUUGGUUUAGAAUCACUGUUUGAUUUUCCACAAUACCUGGCCGCAAUACAAACAAAAAUGGACAACGAGGAAAAUACUCAACCAACCCGAUCAGAUCCUGACAAAAUAACUGUUAUCGACACGGUUGAUGAUUUGAUGAAGUUUGAAGUUUCUCUACAAGAACCUGAUAACUACUACGCUGUGGUGAAUCAUGUUCGUAUGCUGGGUGGCGGGUCCCUUUCCGAUUGCGUAAAAAGAUCUUGGGCCGCAUUCAUCUCAUUGAAAGUAAAGACCUCUUGCAAUUGGGAGGGGAAACCUCGAAAGGGUAUCCAAAAGCACGGUCUACAAAAAUCGUUGCUAACUGAAGCCAUUUUCAAAGGAAUUACUAUUUCGAAGCCUUUUAAAGGCGCAAACCAAUUUGAUUUGGAGUUUGAAACCAAAAAAAUUAUGAAAAGUGCUCCAGAAUUAUUCCAACGAGUCCAGCAGAGCCUUGGGAAAGACAACAGCAUACCACGGGAUAUCAGUGAAGACAGUGGAUAACUCCCUAUUAGUUCAUUGAACGGGUAUGGAGUCGGAGUCAUGUUCCUCACUCAAUUUCGUGAUUGUUUCGUCUUGUGUUUCUCAAUUUAGUCAGCACGUGUCCGUGCACAUGGACCAAAUUAAAACUGAUAUAUGUUAAAUCUACUGUAUCGUUUUUGAAAUUUCUGCUGUGAAUACAUGAUAUUCAGCUCCCUA